UACGUAGGUGGCAAGCGUUAUCCGGAAUUAUUGGGCGUAAAGCGCGCGCAGGCGGUCCUUUAAGUCUGAUGUGAAAGCCCACGGCUCAACCGUGGAGGGUCAUUGGAAACUGGGGGACUUGAGUGCAGAAGAGGAGAGCGGAAUUCCACGUGUAGCGGUGAAAUGCGUAGAGAUGUGGAGGAACACCGGUGGCGAAGGCGGGUCUCUGGGCCGUAACUGACGCUGAGGAGCGAAAGCAUGGGGAGCGAACAGG
rnacentral:rRNA from 1 species